GCUAAUGUGGUGUAGUGGUUUAAGCGUUGGACUAUGACUCUGGAAACCAGGGUUCAAAUCCCAGCUUAGCC